rnacentral:rRNA from 1 species
AGCGAACGCUGGCGGCAGGCCUAACACAUGCAAGUCGAACGAAGUCUUCGGACUUAGUGGCGGACGGGUGAGUAACACGUGGGAACGUACCUUUUGGUUCGGAACAACUCAGGGAAACUUGAGCUAAUACCGGAUGAGCCCUUAGGGGGAAAGAUUUAUCGCCGAAAGAGCGGCCCGCGUUAGAUUAGCUAGUUGGUGAGGUAAAGGCUCACCAAGGCUACGAUCUAUAGCUGGUCUGAGAGGAUGAUCAGCCACACUGGGACUGAGACACGGCCGAGACUCCUACGGGAGGCAGCAGUGGGGAAUCAUGCGCAAUGGGCGAAAGCCUGACGCAGCCAUGCCGCGUGAAUGAUGAAGGUCUUAGGAUUGUAAAAUUCUUUUACCAGGGACGAUAAUGACGGUACCUGGAGAAAAAGCCCCGGCUAACUUCGUGCCAGCCGCCGCGGUAAGAC